rfam:Clostridium sp. DMHC 10 contig_15, whole genome shotgun sequence.
AUAAUGAUACUCCCGUAUAGCCACAGCCCGAGCGUGAACAGACUGCCGCAGGCAAUGGAUACGGCUACGUGAGAACCAUGUAGGGGUGGAAUUCCCGUGG